rnacentral:lncRNA from 1 species
GUAAUUUUUUUAAUGGAAAUUGGCCAAAUAUGGUAAAUCACGGGAUUGCAGUUAUUAAUUAAUUCUUGAACUUAUCAAUUUUAUUCUUUUUUAUCCCUUCUGAAGGCUAAAACAAUAACAAGAACGAUUUUGUAUGUGUUACUGUGUUGACAUGACGAAAUCAGCUAAUGCGCGAUAUCACGGGCCGCGCCGACACCGGGG